rnacentral:misc_RNA from 1 species
AAACGGUUGACUCCUGUCAAUGGAUCGAUUCCUGGUCUAGAUUGUACUGGAAUCUAAACCCAAGCUUAACCCGGCUAAGUAGGCUAGAACAUCGGUGAAUCCAGAAAAGAUCUUAGCUUUAGCUUCGGCCGAAAGUCAUCUCUCAAUCCCGCCUACUGUGAUCGUUUCGGUGAUCAAAUAAAAAAAAUCACAAUCUAAUCUUCAUCCUCAUUUUCAGAUUCUCCACACCUAAAAAGGGGAGAAAAAGAAAAGAAUCUUGCUGUGCUGAGGUAUUAUGGCAAAUCAGUACUCCAAUGAUGGAUCUAGUACAAGCAACAUAUCAGGAGAAAGUUCAGAUGCAGCAAUAGAGCUCAAUAUCAAGACUCUUGAUUCUCAGAUUUACAAUUUUCAGGUGGAUAAAAAUACGCUAGUUUCAGCAUUCAAGGAGAAAAUAGCUAAGGAUAUUGGUGUUCCAGUAGGUCAGCAAAGACUGAUUUUCCGGGGAAAGGUCUUGAAGGAUGAACAUCUCCUUUCUGAAUAUCAAGUGGAGAAUGGGCAUACCUUGCACUUGGUUGCAAGGCAGCCAGCACAGUUGCAACCUUCAACUGAUGCAAGUUCUGGUGACACAAAUGCAAAUAAUGGUAACCGAGGUAAUGAUCCUAGUGCUGGCAUCCCCCAAAAUCGUGUUGGGCAAAUAUCACACAGUGUAGUUCUUGGGACCUUUAAUGUUGGGGAGCAAGGUGAAGGCAUUUUUCCAGACCUCAGUCGGGUUAUUGGCGCGGUGCUGAACUCUUUUGGCAUUGGGGGUCAGACUGCAAUUAAUGGCAUUGGUGGAAUGCAGUCCUCUAACAUGUCAAAUGUUAGUGGUCAGACUCGAGGAAAUGAAACAGUAGAUGGCUUACGAAGUAAUGUUAGUGGUCAGAGUCAAGCAGGAAAUCAAACACAUUCUGGGCAGGCAUUUCCUGGUCAGCC